rnacentral:rRNA from 1 species
UACUGGAGACAGGUGCUGCAUGGCUGUCGUCAGCUCGUGUCGUGAGAUGUGGGUUAAGUCCCGCAACGAGCGCAACCCUUGCCUUUAGUUGCCAGCAGUUCGGCUGGGCACUCUAAAGGGACUGCCGGUGUUAAACCGGAGGAAGUGGGGAUGACGUCAAGUCCUCAUGGCCUUUAUGACCAGGGCUACACACGUACUACAAUGGCCGAUACAAAGGGCAGCGACACUGCGAGGUGAAGCCAAUCCCGUAAAAUCGGUCUCAGUCCGGAUUGGAGUCUGCAACUCGACUCCAUGAAGUUGGAAUCGCUAGUAAUCGUGGAUCAGCAUGCCACGGUGAAUACGUUCCCGGGCCUU